AGAAUCAACGCUGGCGGCGCGCUUAACACAUGCAGGUCGAACGAGAAAGUGGAGCAAUCCAUGAGUAAAGUGGCGUACGGGUGAGUAACACGUGGAUUAUCUGCCCUUGAGUGGGGAAUAACAAUGGGAAACCGUUGCUAAUACCGCAUAUUCCCGAGAGGGGAAAGCAGCAAUGCGCUCAAGGAGGAGUCCGCGGCCGAUUAGCUAGUUGGUAGGGUAAUGGCCUACCAAGGCUUCGAUCGGUA
rnacentral:rRNA from 1 species